UGUUUAUUUGAGUGAACAUUCAGCUAAUUGUUACAGAAUCGUUGCCCCCAUUAAUCUUAGGCUGUAGAAUGUAGACAAGUAAAUAGGCAUCAUCAGUAUGAUGAGAGUGAAGCUACUUAAUACUGUGGAAUCAAAUAAAGGAGGAACCCCUUACUAAACCAAGAGGGAGGAAUAAAAUGGAAUGGGACUAGAGAAGCAAUUAGCUUUAAUAAGGGUAUUAUGGAAGACUUUCUAGAUGAGAAGCAGUAAGUACAGAUGUUUGGAGGCAAACACUAGAGAGAUUGUUGGGUAAAGAAGACAAUGCUGGAGGUCUACUUGUGAAGGCCUUGAAUGCUAUGUGCAGAAGUCAGCUUCUGAGAACCAGGAAGAAGAUAUUGAAAGAUUUUAAGUAGAAGAAUCAUAGGAUUGAAUUCAUUUUAGACAGAUCACUGUUACACAAAAAUUUGAGGCAGGAGAAUUGCUUGAACCCGGGAGGCGGAGUUUGCAGUGAGCCAAGAUAGUGCCAUCGCACUCCAGCCUGGACAACAGAGCGAGACUCCAUCUAAAAAAAAAAAAAAAAAAAAAAAAAACUCAGUUUUUGGUUUUGAAAAUGUCAUGAUACCUGUUGAGAUAACUGCUGAAUAGAUGGGUAAUACACAGUCUAGGGCAUGGUAUCAAAAGAACUUGUCACUGUACAUAUCGGAAAUGGUAAAAAUAUGUUUUGCCGUUUUCACGAAUUCAUUCAUUUUUCAUGUUUCAUGAAUUCAUUCUUUUUAAAAAAAAAAAAUCCUGCUAAUUCUCUGUUUCUCUUGCUUUUCUCCUUUAUGACUAAGUUUUCCUCAUUAUGGGUUACCCCACAUUACUGCUUACGAAGACAUCUCUUUAGUCAGAAAACAGUAGCUUGGUUCAGUUCUAGCUUCAUUGUUAAGCUCAUAGGUAAAUCUGGCAAAUGGCUAGAAACAGUCACAUGUUUGCUUGUCCUUAAUGCUCUCACCUUUUCCCAGCUAUUUGGAUGUAUAUACUUUUGCUUACUUUGUAGUGUACCAACUUAAUAUAUGUUAUAGACUAAAUGUUUAUGUCCUCCCAAACUUCAUAUUUUGGAAGCCAGACAUGGUAACUCACACCUGUAAACCUAACACUUUGGGAGGCCUAGGUGGGAGGAUUGCUUGAGUCCGGGAGUUCAGAACCAGCCUGGACAACAUAGUGAGACCCCGUCUCUACAAAAAAAAAAAAAAUUUUUAAUUAGCCAGGUGUGGUGGCAUACACCUGUAGUCCCAGCUACUCAGGAGGCUUGCCUGAGCCCAGAAGUUUGAGACUGCAGUGAGCCAUGAUAUUGCCAGCCUGGGUGACAGAGCAAGACCUUGUCUCAAGAAAAAAAAAAAAAAUUGCCAAUUGCGAUGGCUCACGCCUGUAAUCCCAGCACUAGGAGGCCGAGGUGGGUGAAUCACCUGAGGUCAGGAGUUUUGAGACCAGCCUGGCCAACGUGGCAAAACCCCGUCUCUACUAAAAAUGCAAAAAUUACCGGGACGUGUUGGUGAGCACCUGUAAUCCCUGCUACUCGGGAGGCUGAGGCAAGAGAAUCUCUUGAACCCAGGGGGUGGAGGUUGCACUGAGCCGAGAUCAUGCCAUUGUACUUCACCUGGGCAACAAGAGGGAAACUGUCUCCAAAAAAAAAAAAUUUGGAGGGCUGGGCACGGUGGCUCACACCUGUAAUCCCAGCACUUUGGGAGGCCAAGGCGGUGGAUCACAAAGUCAGGAGUUCAAGACCAGCCUGGCCAACAUAGUGAAACCCUGUCUCUACUAAAAAUACAAAAAUUAGCCAGGCAUGGUGGCACACGCCUGUAGUCCCAGCUACUGGGGAGGCUGAGGCAGGAGAAUUGCUUUGAACCCGGGAGGCAGAGGUUGUGAGCUGAGAUCGCGUCAGUACACUCCAGCCUGGGCAACAAUGCGAGAUUGCAUCUCAAAAAAAUAAAUAAAUAUUUGGAGUCCCAUAAUAAAUAAAUAUUUGGAGUCCAAUGUGAUAGUAUCUGGAGAUGGGGCCUUUGGAGGUAAUAUGGGUUAGAUAGGUCAUGACGGUAGGGCCCUCAUUAUGGGAUUAGUGGCGUUAUAAGAAGAAGAGAGAAAUCUUCCUCCUCAAGAGCAGAGGAAAAGCCAUAUAAGAAUACAGUGAGACGGCCACUUCCAAACCAGAAAGGGAGCCCCCACCAGGAACCAAAUUGGCUGGCACCUUGAUCUUGGACUUCCCAUGCUCCAGAACUGUGAGAAAUAAAUUUCUAUUAUUUAAGCCCAUGGUAGUUUUAUGGCAUCCUAAGCUAAGACAGCGCGUCUCUAGUUUCCCACAGAUUCAUAAAGGUCCAUACAAAAAUGUUAUAACUGUUAAUAGUGUCCUGUCCUUGAAUUUAACAGCAACCAACAUAUUGUUUGCAUAGUUCUUGCACCAUUUGGAAACAGUGACCUUUAGGUGUUGCAGGUAACUAUUGGGAAAUCCUUCAAUUUGUUUAACAUUUCCAUAUUUUGAUUUGCAUCUUGGGAGUUGCUUGGAAUUUGGGAUCCUCUUCUGUCUCUUGAGUUGAAAUCAGAGGCUGCUUGCCGGGCAAGGUGGCUCACGCCUGUAAUCCCAGCACUUUGGGAGGCCCAGGCAGACAGAUCACCAGAUGUCGGGAGUUAGAAACCAGCCUGGCCAACAUGGCAAAACCCCGUCUCUACUAAAAAUACAAAAAUUAGUCGGGCGUGCUGGUGCAUGCCUGUAAUCCUAGCUGCUUGGGUGCUGAGUUAGGAGAAUUGCUUGAAUCCGGGAGGUGGAGGUUGCAGUGAGCCAAGAUCGUGUCACUGCACUCCAGCCGGGGCAACAGAGCAAGACUCUGCCUCAAAAAAAAGAAAAAAGAAAUCAGAGGCUGGGCAUAGUGGCUCAUGCCUAUAAGCCCAGCACUUUGGGAGGCCAAGGCAGGUGGAUCACUUGAGGCCAGGAGUUCAAGACCAGCCUGGGCAACAUGGCAAAAGCCUAUCUCUACUAGAGAUACAAAAGAUUAGCUGGACGUGAUGGUGUGUGCCUGUAAUCCCAGCUACUCAAGAGGCUGAGGCACAAGAGAAUUGCUUGAACACAGGAGGUGGAGGUUGCAGUGAGCCAAGAUCACGCCACUGCACUCCAACCUGGGGCAACAGAGUGAGACUCUGUCUCAAAAAAAAAAAAAAGAAAUCAGAGAUAAUAUAAAUGCAGGUGUAAACUCAUACACUUAAUGGGCUAUAAGUUUUGGAACUGGCUGUGAUAAUAUAACAAAAGUAAUAAUGGGCUGUAAGUGGUAUUAAAUGUGGGAUUAACUGGAUAUUUAAUGAUACCAAGGAAUCAUUAAUUUUGUUUGGCUGUGAUGUUUUAUUAUUAGAAUGAUGUUAUGAUUAAAUUUUAUUUUUGUCUGGAUACAGUGGCUCACACCUGUAAUCCCAGUGCUUUGGGAGGCCGAGGCAGAUGGAUCACUUGAGGCCAGGAGUUCCAGACCAGCCUGGCCAACACGGCGAAACCCCAUCUCUACUAAAAAUACAAAAAAUUAGCCAGGCCUGGUGGUGCACGCUUGUAAUCCCAGGUACUUGGGAGGCUAAGGCAGGAGGAUCACUUGAACCCAGGGGAGGCUGCAGUGAGCUGAGAUCGUGCCACUGCACUCCAGCUUGGGCAACAGAGCAAGACUCCAUCUUAAAAAGAAGAAAGAAAGAACUUCUAUUUUUUAAAUGUUUUUUCCUUUCAUUGAACUCCAUUUAUAGCCUUUCCAUUCAGAGCAUAAAGAUUAAAUUUUAAAACAAGGCUUGGCACCCUGGCUUAUGCCUGUAAUCCCAGCACUUUGUGAGGCCAAGGUGGGCGGAUCACCUGAGCUCAGAAGUUUGAGUCCAGCCUGGCUAACAUGGUGAAACCCCAUCUCUAAAAGAGUACACAGUCCUAGAGCAGUGGUGUGCGCCUGUAGUCCUAGCUACCUGGGAGGCUGAACCAGGAGAAUUGCUUGAGCCUGGGAGGCAGAGGUUGCAGUGAGCCAAGAUCGCACCAUUACACUCCAGCCUGGGUGACAGAGAGAGACCCUGUGCCCCUCAAAAAAAUGUUUUUUUUAAACAAGAAUCUCUCAGGCAUACUGAAAUGUUGAAGAGGAAAUUAUAUUAAUAUCUGGGACUUGUUUCCAAAUUUGGAAUUGGGGCAGGGUGUAAAUUGUUGGCAAUAUCAAAGAAACGAGGAGUUGGAAUGAUAAUUGUAGAAGCUGCAUGAUAGAUACACAUUCUUUAUACUUCUGUAUAUGUUGAAAUUUUUUAUCAAAUUAUAAUUGUGUAUAAUGAC
rnacentral:lncRNA from 1 species